GACGAACGCUGGCGGCGUGCUUAACACAUGCAAGUCGAACGGAAAGGCCCUGCUUUUUGGGGGUGCUCGAGUGGCGAACGGGUGAGUAACACGUGAGUAACCUGCCCUUGACUUUGGGAUAACUUCAGGAAACUGGGGCUAAUACCGGAUCGGAGCUCCUGCUGCAUGGUGGGGGUUGGACAGUUUCGGCGGUUGGGGAUGGACUCGCGGCUUAUCAGCUUGGUGGUGGGGUAGUGGCUUACCAAGGCCUUGACGGGUAGCCGGCCUGAGAGGGUGACCGGCCACAUUGGGACUGAGAUACGGCCCAGACUCCUACGGGAGGCAGCAGUGGGGAAUAUUGCACAAUGGGCGGAAGCCUGAUGCAGCAACGCCGCGUGCGGGAUGACGGCCUUCGGGUUGUAAACCGCUUUCGCCUGUGACGAAGCGUGAGUGACGGUAAUGGGUAAAGAAGCACCGGCUAACUACGUG
rnacentral:rRNA from 1 species